rnacentral:rRNA from 1 species
UACGGGGGGGGCAAGCGUUGUUCGGAAUUACUGGGCGUAAAGGGCUCGUAGGUGGCCAACUAAGUCAGACGUGAAAUCCCUCGGCUUAACCGGGGAACUGCGUCUGAUACUGGAUGGCUUGAGAUUGGGAGAGGGAUGCGGAAUUCCAGGUGUAGCGGUGAAAUGCGUAGAUGUCUGGAGGAACACCGGUGGCGAAGGCGGCAUCCUGGACCAACACUGACACUGAGGAGCGAAAGCCAGGGGAGCAAACGGG